AACUUUUUAAGUUUGUUUCUUAAGUAAACUGUGUGUACACACUGCAAUUCAAGACAGUCUGAUGAACCUUAUCAAGUUUAAGGUACAGCUUUAGUGGAACUGUCCUGACACAUUUUGCUUCUCUUAUAAAAUUCUGAAUCAAUCUAGAUAUAACUUCACAGAAUUAUCAUGUCAAUGUUAAGUUUAUAAUUUAUAAUUUAUCACAGC
rnacentral:lncRNA from 1 species